UUACAAGCCUGACCUCACGGGAGGGGCGCAUUUAUUAAUCAAAAGCGCAAGUCGGGGCUUGGCCCGUCUGCUUGGUGACUCUGGAUAACUUUUGUGUCUGAUCGGCAAUGGCCUCUGCGCUGGCGACGUAUCUUUUCAAGUGUCUGCCCUAAUCAACUUACGAUGGUAGGUGAUAAUGCCUACCAUUGGUUAUAACGGGUAACGGGAAUGCAGGGUUCGAUUCCGGAGAGGGAAGCCUGAGAAACGGCUACCACAUCUAAGGAAGGCGAGCAAGGCGCUGGCAAAAUUACCACUCCGGCACGGGGAGGUAGUGACGAAAAAUAACGAUAGCGGGACUCUUUUGAGGCCCCGUAAUUGGAAUGAGUACUUUAAAUCCGUAACACAAGUAUCUAUUGGUAAGGGGUCAAGUCUGGUGGGGCGCAGCCAGCCGCGCUAAAUCCAAGCUCCAAAUAGGCGUAUAUUAAUGUUGCUGCAGUUAAAAAGCUCGUAGUUGGAUCUGAGAAACUCGAAUUGGUGGUGCACCAUACGGUGUUACUGCCGAUUCGGCCUUACCUAGUCAGGUGCUCGCUCUUGGUGUUCUUUAAUUGAAUGCCCUGAGUGCCCGGCCCCAAAAAAGUUUACUUUGAAAAAAUUAGAGUGGCUCAAGCCAGGCCAUUAGCAGGAAUAACUUCAAGCAUGGAAUAAUGGAAUAGGACUUCGGCUUCUAUUUUGUUGGUUUUCCCGGAACCCGAGUAAAUGAUUAAGAGAGACAGACGGGGCAAUUCGGUACUGCGCGUGUUAGAGGGUGAAAUUCUUGCGGAAUCGCGCAAAGACGUAAACAACUGGGCGAAAAGCAUUGCCAAGAAUGUUUUCAUUAAUCAAGAAAAACGAACAGUAGAGUUCGAAGACGAUCAGAAAUCCGGUCGCUAGUUCUGAGCAUAAACGAUGCCAACUGCGAUGCCGAGAUCGUUUCUUAUUGGACCUGCUCGGGCAGCCUCCGGGAACCAAAGCUUUUUAGUUCCGGGGAAGUAGUGUUGCAAAACGUGAAACUUCAGUGAUUGACGGAAGGGCAAUGCCACCAGGAGUGGAGCCUGGUGGAAUUUGACUCAACACGGGAAAACUCCCCGGCCGGACACUGUUUAGGAAUGACAAGAUUGAAUAGCUCGUUCUUGAUUCGGUGGGUGUUGUCGGUUGCAUGGCGUUCCUUAGUUGGUGAGCGAUUUGUCCUGCGUUAAUUCCCGAUAACGAACGAGACUCUAGCCUGCUAAAUAGUACGCCGCGGAUACCUUUUCGUCGGUGCUGACUCUCCUUAGAGGGACAGCGAAGCGUCUUGAAGACGCACGAGAUUGAGCAAUAACAGGUCUCUGUGAUGCCCUUAGAUGUUCGGGGCCGCACGCGGCGCGCUACACUGAAGGGGGAUCAGCGAGUUUUUCUCCUGGUUCGAAAGAACGGGUAAUCUUGUUGAAUUCCCUUCGUGACAGGGAUCGGGGCUUGCAAUUUAUUCCCCGUGAACGAGGAAAUUCCCAGUAAGCGCAAGUCAUCAGCUUGCGUUGAUUUACGUCCCUGCCCUUUGUACACACACCGCCCACGUCGUAUCGCCCGAUUGAAUCUGUUUAGCAAAGGUAACCUCUGAUUGAAUGGUUUAGCACGAGUCCUCGGCAUCUGGUGCGACUUGUGCAACACAGGUCGGAUACUGAAAAGAAGAUCAAACUUGAUCAAACUGAUCAAUUUAGAGGAAGAGUAAAUAGUCGUAAACAAGGUUUCCCGGUGUAGGUCUGAACCUGCGGAAGGAUCAUUA
rfam:Macrostomum lignano unitig_39606, whole genome shotgun sequence.